rnacentral:rRNA from 1 species
UACGGAGGGGGCUAGCGUUGUUCGGAAUUACUGGGCGUAAAGCGCACGUAGGCGGCUUUGUAAGUUAGAGGUGAAAGCCCGGGGCUCAACUCCGGAAUUGCCUUUAAGACUGCAUCGCUAGAAUUGUGGAGAGGUAAGUGGAAUUCCCAGUGUAGAGGUGAAAUUCGUAGAUAUUGGGAAGAACACCGGUGGCGAAGGCGGCACCCUGGGCCAGUACUGACGCUGAGACGCGAAAGCGUGGGGAGCGA